AAGAUAUGAAAUUUUUGAUGGAAAUAUCAAAAAUACCCUUCAGUGGAAAGUUAUCAUGCAAUUUGAUCCUGCGAUCUCCCUGCACCCCGAAUAUGACUCUGGAUAUGGAAUGAUGUCAAAUCCAAUAUCAUACUCAUAUUUCUCUCAAUCUUAUAUGAUGAUUCAAUUAAUAAAAUAUUAAAAACUCUUUCUAAUUUUUAUUUUUCUUUGAUCAAAGGCUUCCUGAAUCAUCAAUCGAUUAGAACAAGUAGG
rnacentral:lncRNA from 1 species